GUCUGUGGGGAGUUAUGGGGUCUGUGGGGCAUUGUAGGGGAUGUGGGGUCUGUGGGGAGUUAUGGGGUCUAUAGGGCAUUGUAGGGGAUGUGGGGUCUAUGGGGUCCCUAUGGACACGUAGGGGACGUUAUAGGGGAAGUUAUGGGGACGAUAUGGGGCCGUGGGCUCCAUGGGGACGUGGGGAGGAUCUUAUAGACAACAUCAUGGGCUUAUAGGAUCUGCAGACGUAUGGGGACGUUAUGGGGAUGACGUGGGGACACUAUAGGGUCUGUAGGGACAUAUAGGGGACGUUAUAGGAACCCUCCGCUCGCCCCAAACACCCCAACCCCAUUGGUGGGCCCCACCCUCGCUCAUUCCCCCGUUGCCCUUUUAAACGUUUGCUCGCCACGCCGGAUGUCGCCCGAACCGGAAGCGGAAGUAGUUCAUCUUUCGCGUGGCACUGUGGGAAAGCGACGGCCGCUCAACGCCACUAUGGCGGCGGCGUUGGAUGUGGGCUCCAAGGAGCAGAAGGAUGCGGCGCUGGAUCGGCGCAUCGCGGCGCUGCGCAAGAAGAACGAGGCUCUGGUGCGGCGCUACCAGGAGAUCGAGGAGA